AUUGAACGCUGGCGGCAGGCCUAACACAUGCAAGUCGAACGAGUGGCGGACGGGUGAGUAAUGUCUUGGAAACUGCCUGAUGGAGGGGUAUAACUACUGGAAACGGUAGCUAAUACCGCAUACCAUCGGAUCUGCCCAGGUGGGAUUAGCGACUAGGGGGGGGAAAGGCUCAUCUAGGCGACGAUGCCUAGCUGGUCUGAGAGGAUGACCGGCCACACUGGAACUGAGACACGGCCCAGACUCCUACGGGAGGCAGCAGUGGGGAAUAUUGCACAAUGGGCGCAAGCCUGACGGAGCCAUGCCGCGUGUAUGAAGAAGGCCUUAGGGUUGUAAAGUACUUUCAGUCGGGAGGCGUUACCGACAGAAGAAGCACCGGCUAACUCCGUGCCAGCAGCCGCGGUAAUUC
rnacentral:rRNA from 1 species